CUUCUGUCACAAAAGGUCGCAUGAACAGAAAAUGUCAAAGAGUAAAUAAAUGCACAUAAGACUCUUUGUCGACAGCCUGCAAUUUAUUGUUUAUUAAAUAGCUAUUUUAAAAGUGAAUUAAAUACAUUGUAAGGAGGUAUGCAGCAUGUUGGAGGACCCGUUACAUUAUAAUAAUUAUAAAGCUAUACCUUCGUUUCGCAACCUCAUCAUGUAGUCACUAUAUGUUGAGGAAUAAUCAGCCAAAAGUCUACUCCUGGUUCUAGAUCCAAAAACUACAUCCCCAGUAAUCCAAGGAGCGAUGAAAGAACCAAUAAUGUGUGGUGAGACCUCUGCAAGAACCUGCGGUAUCAAUGCGAAUAAUUGUUCAUUCGAUGACAUCAUCGCGCCUGGUAUUUACUAGACCGUUUAGACUAGACCGAUAAUCAGCCGCCAUUUCCAUUGGCCAAGGCUAGCUUAAGAUCCAUAUCAGUGAAUAUUACCACUAUUAACCCACCAUGAGUUUAUAUCGAAGGUGACGAAAUCGAGGUGGUUGAUGAAACUGAUUUCCGCCAAAACCGAUACCAGCAGAAAAGCUCGGGGACAAAUUGUGGCAGUAAAUCUUACUUCUUUUGAGCUCGGCAAGACUCAUCGAUAAAUUGUUUCAGCUGUUAGGGGAAACCUGGACGCUGUCAGAAUUCCAGAAUCACCCGGUGAAAACGGUUCUAGAUACGACGGCUACAAGAAAACGAUAUGGACGAAGCGGAUCAAUCAGGUGGAAGGUUUUGGCGAUGGCAACGCGUACAUAUGAACCGAGUGGAAUGGAGACUCCGACCAUAGUUCUGUACUAAUAAACUAUUGAUUGAUGUAGUAUUGUUUGUCCUGUU